rnacentral:rRNA from 1 species
AUGAACGCUGGCGGCGUGCCUAAUACAUGCAAGUCGAGCGAACGGACGAGAAGCUUGCUUCUCUGAUGUUAGCGGCGGACGGGUGAGUAACACGUGGAUAACCUACCUAUAAGACUGGGAUAACUUCGGGAAACCUGAGCUACUACCGGAUGAUAUUUUGAACCGCAUGGUUCAAAAGUGAAAGACGGUCUUGCUGUCACUUAUAGAUGGAUCCGCGCUGCAUUAGCUAGUUGGUAAGGUAACGGCUUACCAAGGCAACGAUGCAUAGCCGACCUGAGAGGGUGAUCGGCCACACUGGAACUGAGACACGGUCCAGACUCCUACGGGAGGCAGCAGUAGGGAAUCUUCCGAAAUGGGCGAAAGCCUGACGGAGCAACGCCGCGUGAGUGAUGAAGGUCUUCGGAUCGUAAAACUCUGUUAUUAGGGAAGAACAGAUGUGUAAGUAACUGUGCACAUCUUGACGGUACCUAAUCAGAAAGCCACGGCUAACUACGUG